rnacentral:rRNA from 1 species
UACGUAGGGCGCAAGCGUUAUCCGGAAUUAUUGGGCGUAAAGAGCUCGUAGGCGGUUUGUCGCGUCUGCCGUGAAAGUCCGGGGCUUAACCCCGGAUCUGCGGUGGGUACGGGCAGACUAGAGUGAUGUAGGGGAGACUGGAAUUCCUGGUGUAGCGGUGAAAUGCGCAGAUAUCAGGAGGAACACCGGUGGCGAAGGCGGGUCUCUGGGCCGAUACUGACGCUGAGGAGCGAAAGCGUGGGGAGCGAACAGG